rnacentral:rRNA from 1 species
AUGGAGGUGAUAGGAGAAGCCAAAGAGGGUAGCGGCGGAGAAUCCGCGGAGUGCUACCGUAAGGAGGCCAAAUCCUCCUCUGGGAUCGAAGGACAACAAUCUGGGAUCGAAGACGGUUCAGCCACGCCGGAGCAGAUCUCGGAGAACGAAGACGACAACUCAACGGAUGGGGAGCUGUUCCUGCCCGAGUACUUAACGGAUGAGGAGAUCAUGCAAGAGUACCGUAUAGGCUGGGAAUGCAGGUGCUAUGGCAAGUUCGGUAACUUCGAAGAUGAGACGACGAUCAAGAACAUGCUGACCACAUACAAAACCAUCCCACAUGCUUUGGUCUCCCGCAACUUGCAAGUCUACUCCAUCGAAGUCGAGAAGCCGAAACUCGGGUGA